rnacentral:rRNA from 1 species
AUUCCAGCUCCAAUAGCGUAUAUUAAAGUUGUUGCAGUUAAAAAGCUCGUAGUUGGAUUUGUGGUUGAGCUGUCCGGUCCGACACUUUUGUGUGGGUACUUGGACGGCUCGUCCAUCCUUGGGUGGAAUCUGUGUGGCAUUAGGUUGUCGUGCAGGGGAUGCCCAUCUUUUACUGUGAAAAAAUUAGAGUGUUCAAAGCAGGCUUAUGCCGUUGAAUAUAUUAGCAUGGAAUAAUGAGAUAGGACCUUGGUACUAUUUUGUUGGUUUGCGCACCGAGGUAAUGAUUAAUAGGGACAGUUGGGGGUAUUCGUAUUCCAUUGUCAGAGGUGAAAUUCUUGGAUUUUUGGAGGACGAACUACUGCGAAAGCAUUUACCAAGGAUGUUUUCAUCA